AAACAUCCAUCAACAUCCCUACAAUUUAACUAAAACUUAACCGAGGAACAUUAUCAAACACGAACAUCAUGCCUACAACUUAACUAAAACUGAAAACAGCCAUCAUAACUAAAACUGAAAACAGACAUCAUCCUCAUCAUCGUGAACCGGAACAUCAUCAUCUCUGUUGUAUACUUGCCACACACCCAUUUAGUCGUCCAUAUAUCUUUUGAAUCUACAAAGGAAAUAACAAAAUGACCUGUUAAUACACAAUGCAUUUACAUAAUGCAAAUAGUGACGGGUUGCCCAAAUAUAAUACUUCUUACAAAGGAUCAUUACUUCAUAUACAUUGGUUGCCCGGCGAGAUAACGACUAUUACAA
rnacentral:lncRNA from 1 species